AUGGAUGGAUGGAUGGGUGGGUGGGAACGUCAACGACUGAUUUGGGCGAGAAGUGGGUUUCAGAAAUUACUAACGUGAUAAUUUUGUCGCAGACCCAACCAGCCCAUGAAUGAUGAAGCGGUCUUGUCUUUAGCGUCUUGAGCAGUCUCCGUCUCGCCGGCGUUUUCUCUUCUGCUAAAUUCUAGUUUCAAUGUCCUCGGAAGUUAUCAAGUUAACAGAGAGAGUUUGAAAAGAAGAGACCAGAGAUCUUUUUGAGAAGCAGUAACUGUUCAACACGUGGUGUAAUAGGUCACGUGGCGACCAAACAUACAGUUUUGUUGAGGAAGUGUCUCUGCAUAAUCGCCACGUAUCUUAUGUGACAGGGCUGUCUAAAGCGGUUUGAUUAGACUAAAACUGAAAAAUAUGACCAAUUCAACCUCAACCGAAUUUGAACCGCUCUCGCAACGAUGUAGCUGUUUCAAUUAUUUUAUUAAAAUCAAAACUAUGGUUUCCAACUUUCCAUACAGAAACAGUGACUAACCGUACAGAAACGAUUGGUCACCUUCGGUCGCAAGUCUGGCUCUCUGGUGGUGUUCUUGAAUUUUAUAAUCCACAA